AUCCACCUGACGAGUCCCAAAUAAGAGGAAACGUGCGUCCUGAAU
rnacentral:hammerhead_ribozyme from 1 species